UACAGAGACUGCAAGCGUUAAUCGGAAUUACUGGGCGUAAAGGGUGCGCAGGCGGUUUUGUAAGCCAGAUGUGAAAUCCCCGGGCUCAACCUGGGAAUGGCAUUUGGGACUGCAAGGCUAGAGUGUGGCAGAGGAGACUGGAAUUCCCGGUGUAGCAGUGAAAUGCGUAGAUAUCGGGAGGAAUACCGAUGGCGAAGGCAGGUCUCUGGGCUGACACUGACGCUCAUGCACGAAAGCGUGGGGAGCAAACAGG
rnacentral:rRNA from 1 species